GGCUCGCUGGUCUAGUGGUAUGAUUCUCGCUUAGGGUGCGAGAGGUCCCGGGUUCAAUUCCCGGGCGAGCCC
rfam:Branchiostoma floridae genomic scaffold BRAFLscaffold_115, whole genome shotgun sequence.